rnacentral:rRNA from 1 species
GAUGAACGCUGGCGGCGUGCCUAACACAUGCAAGUCGAGCGAUUCUCUUCGGAGAAGAGCGGCGGACGGGUGAGUAGCGCGUGGGUAACCUGCCCUGUACACACGGAUAACAUACCGAAAGGUAUGCUAAUACGAGAUAAUAUGCUUUUAUCGCAUGGUAGAAGUAUCAAAGCUUUUACGGUACAGGAUGGACCCGCGUCUGAUUAGCUAGUUGGUAAGGUAACGGCUUACCAAGGCGACGAUCAGUAGCCGACCUGAGAGGGUGAUCGGCCACAUUGGAACUGAGACACGGUCCAAACUCCUACGGGAGGCAGCAGUGGGGAAUAUUGCACAAUGGGCGAAAGCCUGAUGCAGCAACGCCGCGUGAGCGAUGAAGGCCUUCGGGUCGUAAAGCUCUGUCCUCAAGGAAGAUAAUGACGGUACUUGAGGAGGAAGCCCCGGCUAACUACGUGCCAGCAGCCGCCGUAA